rnacentral:rRNA from 1 species
AACGAACGCUGGCGGCAUGCCUAACACAUGCAAGUCGAACGGAUGGCUUCGGCCAUGAGUGGCGGACGGGUGAGUAACGCGUGGGAACCUGCCCUGGGGUGCGGAAUAACCGAGGGAAACUUCGGCUAAUACCGCAUGUGUCCUGCGGGAGAAAGGCUUUGGCCGCCCUGGGAGGGGCCCGCGUCCGAUUAGCUAGUUGGCGGGGUAAUGGCCCACCAAGGCAUCGAUCGGUAGCUGGUCUGAGAGGAUGAUCAGCCACACUGGGACUGAGACACGGCCCAGACUCCUACGGGAGGCAGCAGUGGGGAAUAUUGGACAAUGGGCGCAAGCCUGAUCCAGCAAUGCCGCGUGAGUGACGAAGGCCUUCGGGUUGUAAAGCUCUUUCGGCGGGGACGAUGAUGACGGUACCCGCAGAAGAAGCCCCGGCUAACUUCGUGCCAGCCGCCGCCGUAA